CGUGUUUUUAAGAAAUGUGCUUUAAGACUUUUGAAAUGAAAUUGUUUGGAUUAAAUGCAUAUAAAUCAUUUUUUAUAUUUAUUUUUCAUAUUCAGUUUAACUUUUGAAUAAGUAUGAUUUAAAUUCUGCAUAAAGAUUAUUUUAGUAUGUUGUGCACCACUGAGUCCUAGUACUCAGCAAUGACUGUUAUUACUGUCGCAGAUAUAGAGACUAGA
rnacentral:misc_RNA from 1 species